AACAGCUCAAAUUUGAAAUCUGGCGCAAGCCCGAGUUGUAAUUUGUAGAGGAUGCUUCUAGGCAGCGGCCGGUCUAAGUUUCUUGGAACAGGACGUCAUAGAGGGUGAGAAUCCCGUAUGUGACCGGUUGGCACCUUGCACGUAGCUCCUUCGACGAGUCGAGUUGUUUGGGAAUGCAGCUCUAAAUGGGAGGUAAAUUUCUUCUAAAGCUAAAUACCGGCCAGAGACCGAUAGCGCACAAGUAGAGUGAUCGAAAGAUGAAAAGCACUUUGGAAAGAGAGUUAAAAAGCACGUGAAAUUGUUAAAAGGGAAGCGCUUGCAACCAGACUUGUCGGCGGUGUUCCGCCGGUCUUCUGACCGGUCUAUUCGCCGCCUGCAGGCCAGCGUCGUCUGGGGCCGCCGGAUAAAGGCUUUGGGAAUGUAGCUCCUCGGAGUGUUAUAGCCCAUUGCACAAUACGGCGCGCGCCGGGCGAGGUCCGCGCUUCGGCAAGGACGCUGGCGUAAUGGUCGUAAGCGGCCCGUC
rnacentral:rRNA from 1 species